UACGUAGGUGGCAAGCGUUGUCCGGAAUUACUGGGUGUAAAGGGCGCGUAGGCGGGUUUACAAGUCAGAUGUGAAAAUCCGGGGCUCAACCCCGGAAUUGCAACUGAAACUGUAUAUCUUGAGUGUUGGAGAGGGAAGUGGAAUUCCUAGUGUAGCGGUGAAAUGCGUAGAUAUUAGGAGGAACACCAGUGGCGAAGGCGACUUUCUGGCCAACAACUGACGCUGAGGCGCGAAAGCGUGGGGAGCAAACAGG
rnacentral:rRNA from 1 species